rnacentral:rRNA from 1 species
GACGAACGCUGGCGGCGUGCUUAACACAUGCAAGUCGAGCGGAGCGGCGAACGGGUGAGUAACGCGUGAGUAACUGCCCCCCUCUCUGGGAUAACAGUUGGAAACGGCUGCUAAUACCGGAUAGUGGGGGAUGACUCGCGUCCUAUCAGCUUGUUGGUGGGGUAGUGGCCUACCAAGGCGACGACGGGUGGCCGGCCUGAGAGGGCGACCGGGCAAGUUGGGAUUAGAGACGGCCCAAACGCCUGCGGGGUGCAGCAGUGGGGAAUAUGGCACAAUGGGGGAAACCCUGAUGAAGCAACGCCGCGUGCGGGAUGACGGCCUUCGGGGUGGUAACCGCUUUCAGCCAUGACGCGGUAGUGGCAGAAGAAGCACCGGCUAACUACGUGCCAGCAGCCGCGGUAAUAC